rnacentral:rRNA from 1 species
AGAGUUUGAUCCUGGCUCAGAACGAACGCUGGCGGCGUGCUUAACACAUGCAAGUCGAACGCGAAAGGGACUUCGGUCCUGAGUAAAGUGGCGCACGGGUGAGUAACGCGUGGAUAAUCUGCCCAAUGGUCCGGGAUAACAUUUCGAAAGGGGUGCUAAUACCGGAUAAGACCACGGGAUCUUAGGAUCUUGCGGUAAAA